CUCUCACCAGGCUGCGCGCUGGCGGGUCGGUGCACAGGGACGGGGUCGCCGCCCACGCGCGCUUGGUUCAGGGAGCCCAGGCUGUCCCUACCCGCGGCUACAAAAGCUCGCCGAGUCUUCCUGUCCACCCAAUCGCCCCACAUGUCAGCGGUUGGUCGCCUCGCGGUGCAGUGCUGGGCACGCGAGCCCCUCCCGCAGUCAUUCUCAGCACAAGCACCAGCCUGGAGCCCCGCAGCGACAGAGCUGAGAGCCCCCAAGCCGCAGAGGUCGUGCGGAGCAGGUUGGUCUAAUUGAAGGCAAUGGAGAAGUAAGUCUUUAUGGAUCAAAAUCUUAGCUCUAGAAAAGAUUUGAUUAAGUGAAACAAAGCCCCAGCUGCUGGAGCAGAGGUUCCACUUGGGUUCCACAGACACCCACAGCCCAAAUCCCUGGAGGCCUAAGGCAAUAGCUAAUUGAGACUAUGCAUCACUAUUAAGGCAUCUUCACUAAAGGGCGCUGUGGAAACGCUGCCUGAGAUGCAGACACCUGUCAGAAGGGGGCUAAAUUUCAAACAAGGAACGUGGUGUUGCAUCACAAUAAAGUAGAUUCUAGUAUUACCUUCCUUUUUCAGAAGAGGAGACCAAUGGGGAGCAUUGGAAUGAUUUGGUUGCAAGCAUACUACACUACUUGUAAACUGCAGACACAGGCUUAAAAAAAGUGAAAAACUAACCAUGCAAUAAAGAAUGGAAUGAACCAUGAAGCUGUUUCUGUGGCCAGUCAUGUUUUUGAAGCAUAUCCCAUGCUAAUUUCUAGAACAGAAGAAACACACGUGUUCUUGUGUGUAAACCCAGUCCAUGGAAGAGACCGUCUGCUUGUCCCUCCUGAUCUCUGGGCCCAGACAACCAGUAGUCACCAUUCCAAGUGAGGGGUGGCUGCAACUCUACAGCCCCGUUCGUCUCUCCUCACUGUCAAAGCUGCUGAGACCCCAGACUCGACACUUGAAAGAAACCCAUGUCUGUGAAGCACUUGUGGACCAUUCAAGAUUGUGGAAGAAUCACUCAAGAGAAGGAGAUAGGUGAUGGGAUCUAGCUUCUGAUGGUUUCUAUUUUAUUGAAUGUCUAAUAGGGCAAGAAUUUGAAAAACGAGAAUGUUUGCCAUGCAGGAGGACCUGGGAAGGAGAUAACACAUUUACAGGGAGAAAGAUUGGGAUUCAGUUGGGAGGAGUAACUGAGGAAAGGGGUCACUCAAAAUAUUUUGUAUUUUAGGUCCUUUUUCUAUUAAGGAGGAAUGGAUUAUCAAAGCCUUAACAUUAAAUUGUAUUGUGUCAGGUGAAUUGCUAUGGUUUGAAUGUGGUGUGUCCCCCUCCCAAACUCACAUUGAAUUUUUUUUUUUUUUUUUGAGACGGAGUCUCGCUCUGUUGCCCAGGCUGGAGUGCAGUGGUGCGAUCUUGGCUCACUACAAGCUCUGCCUCCCGGGUUCAAGAGAUUCUCCUGCCUCAGCCUCCCGAGUAGCUGGGAUUACAGAUGUUCGUCACCACACCUGGCUAAUUUUUGUAUUUUUAAUAGAGAUGGGGUUUCACUAUGUUGGCUAGGCUGGUCUCAAACUCCCGACAUCAGGUGAUCCACCCACCUCGGCCUCCCAAAGUGCUGGGAUUAGAGGAGUGAGCCACUGCACCCAGCCUCACGUUGAGGUUUAAUUGCCAUUGUAACAGUAUAAAGAUGUGGGACCUUUACGAGGUGAUUAGGCAAUGAGGACUCUGCCCUCAUGAAUGGAUUAAUGCUGUUAUCAUGGGAGUGGAUUCCUUAUAAAGGGACACGUUCAGCACCCCCUUGCUCUCUCUCUCACCUUCCGCCAUAUGAUGAUGGGGCACAAAGGCCAUCAUCAGAUGUUGGCCCCUUGUUCUCGAACUUCCCAACCUCCAGAGCAGUAAAAAAAUAAAUCACUGUUCUUUACAAAUGGCCCAGUCUCAGAUAUUCUGUUACAGCAGUACAAAAUGAACUAAGUCAUGAAACCUAAGAUUUACAUGAUUUACAGCAGUGGUCCGCAACCUUUUGGGCAGCAGGGGCUGGUUUUGUG
rnacentral:lncRNA from 1 species